AUUGAACGCUGGCGGCAGGCUUAACACAUGCAAGUCGAGCGGGGUGAUGGUGCUUGCACUAUCACUUAGCGGCGGACGGGUGAGUAAUGCUUAGGAAUCUGCCUAUUAGUGGGGGACAACAUCUCGAAAGGGAUGCUAAUACCGCAUACGUCCUACGGGAGAAAGCAGGGGAUCACUUGUUACCUUGCUCUAAUAGGUGAGCCUAAGUCGGAUUAGCUAGUUGGUGGGGUAAAGGCCUACCAAGGCGACGAUCUGGAGCGGGUCUGAGAGGAUGAUCCGCCACACUGGGACUGGGACACGGCCCAGACUCCUACGGGAGGCAGCAGUGGGGAAUAUUGGACAAUGGGGGGAACCCUGAUCCAGCCAUGCCGCGUGUGUGAAGAAGGCCUUAUGGUUGUAAAGCACUUUAAGCGAGGAGGAGGCUCUUUUGGUUAAUACCCAAGAUGAGUGGACGUUACUCGCAGAAUAAGCACCGGCUAACUCUGUGCCAGCCGCCGCCGUAA
rnacentral:rRNA from 1 species